UACGUAGGGCGCAAGCGUUGUCCGGAAUUAUUGGGCGUAAAGAGCUCGUAGGCGGUCUGUUGCGUCUGCCGUGAAAUCCCGAGGCUUAACCUCGGGUCUGCGGUGGAUACGGGCGGACUAGAGGUAGGUAGGGGAGAAUGGAAUUCCCGGUGUAGCGGUGAAAUGCGCAGAUAUCGGGAGGAACACCGGUGGCGAAGGCGGUUCUCUGGGCCUUACCUGACGCUGAGGAGCGAAAGCGUGGGGAGCAAACAGG
rnacentral:rRNA from 1 species